GUUAUAUGGUCAAGUGAAGAAGCGCAUACGGUGGAUGCUUGGCAGUCAGAGGCGAUGAAAGACGUGGUAGCCUGCGAAAAGCUUCGGGGAGUCGGCAAACAGACUUUGAUCCGGAGAUGUCUGAAUGGGGGAACCCAGCCAUCAUAAGAUGGUUAUCACACACU
rnacentral:rRNA from 1 species